GAAAAAGCACUAAACCAGAUGUUGAGGUGACCGGGAUUCCUGGAAGACAUUCUUCUCUCCAACGAGACACAUGAUGCAUGAAGUAGGAGCCCCUGGCAAGGAGCCCAGGCCGCCAUGGCCUCACUUGCUUCUGCUUCCCGGCAUGGCCCCGAGGCUAGCUGCCUCUGUACCGCCUGAGCAUCGUCCCCUGGCGUGUCACCAGACUACCCACUACCUGUGCUUGCACCUGCAGGUGGGCAGUUCAGUCGUUGCAGGCUGAAGCUCCCUGUCACAGGAGUCCAUCAGCACUGGAGUUUACCAAAUGGCCCAGUCCAGGAAGCAUGCUCAUGGCAAUACCCGGAGUCUCCACUGCAAGACCAGAGUGAUGGAGGCAGCAGAGCUCCUCAGCAGGCCAGGAGUCUCCAGAGGCACUGCCGAAUGUCUAAGAAGCAACCUCAUUGUAUUCCCAAGAGCUGGGAAUCCAGGUCUCGCAGAUACGAUGAUACAAUCUAUAGCCAGGACAUCUCUUCAUGUGUAGGAUAAGCAACUAUCCCAGUCUUCCCAGGAUUGAGGGACUUCUCCAGAUGCUGCACUUCCGGUGCUAAAAAUUAGAAACUGAAAUGAAUUAGUCACCCAAGGAAUGCU
rnacentral:lncRNA from 1 species